rnacentral:tRNA from 1 species
GAGGGUAUAGCUCAGUUGUAGAGCAUGUGCUUAGCAUACACGAGGGCCUAGGUGUAAUUCCCAGUAUCUCCA